rnacentral:rRNA from 1 species
UUCGGCUGGCCGGAACACAGGUGCUGCAUGGCUGUCGUCAGCUCGUGUCGUGAGAUGUUGGGUUAAGUCCCGCAACGAGCGCAACCCUCGCCCCUAGUUGCCAUCAUUCAGUUGGGAACUCUAGGGGGGACUGCCGGUGAUAAGCCGCGAGGAAGGUGGGGAUGACGUCAAGUCCUCAUGGCCCUUACAGGCUGGGCUACACACGUGCUACAAUGGCGGUGACAAUGGGCAGCGAAGGAGCGAUCCGGUGCUAAUCCCAAAAAGCCGUCUCAGUACAGAUUUGCACUCUGCAACUCGAGUGCAUGAAGGUGGAAUCGCUAGUAAUCGUGGAUCAGCAUGCCACGGUGAAUACGUUCCCGGGCCUUGUACACACCGCCCGUCACACCAUGGGAGUUGGGUUUACCCGAAGGCGUCGCGCUAACCGCAAGGAGGCAGGCGACCACGGUAGGCUCAGCGACUGGGGUGAAGUCGUAACAAGGUAACC